CGGGGUGAGUAACGCGUGGGUAACCUGCCUUAUACCGGGGGAUAACAGCCAGAAAUGACUGCUAAUACCGCAUAAGCGCACAGAACCGCAUGGUUCGGUGUGAAAAACUCCGGUGGUAUAAGAUGGACCCGCGUUGGAUUAGCUAGUUGGCAGGGCAGCGGCCUACCAAGGCGACGAUCCAUAGCCGGCCUGAGAGGGUGAACGGCCACAUUGGGACUGAGACACGGCCCAG
rnacentral:rRNA from 1 species